AACGAACGCUGGCGGCAUGCCUAACACAUGCAAGUCGAACGAGACCUUCGGGUCUAGUGGCGCACGGGUGCGUAACGCGUGGGAACCUGCCCUUAGGUUCGGAAUAACUCCCCGAAAGGGGUGCUAAUACCGGAUAAUGUCUUCGGACCAAAGAUUAUCGCCUUUGGAUGGGCCCGCGUUGGAUUAGCUAGUUGGUAGGGUAAAAGCCUACCAAGGCGACGAUCCAUAGCUGGUCUGAGAGGAUGAUCAGCCACACUGGGACUGAGACACGGCCCAGACUCCUACGGGAGGCAGCAGUGGGGAAUAUUGGACAAUGGGCGAAAGCCUGGUCCAGCAAUGCCGCGUGAGUGAUGAAGGCCUUAGGGUUGUAAAGCUCUUUUACCCGGGAUGAUAAUGACAGUAACGGGAGAAUAAGCUCCGGCUAACUCCGUG
rnacentral:rRNA from 1 species